rnacentral:rRNA from 1 species
UACGGAGGGUGCAAGCAUUAAUCGGAUUUAUUGGGCGUAAAGGGCGCGUAGGCGGUAAUAAAAGUCAGAUGUGAAAUCCUGGGGCUCAACCCCAGAACUGCAUAUGAAACUUUAUUUCUAGAGGGUAGGCGGAGAAAAUGGAAUUCCACAAGUAGCGGUGAAAUGCGUAGAUAUGUGGAAGAACACCAGUGGCGAAGGCGAUUUUCUAGCUUACACCUGACGCUGAGGCGCGAAAGCAAGGGGAUCAAACAGG